rnacentral:lncRNA from 1 species
UGCCCCACACUCAGGAAAGGCAGGGUCUGACCAGCACCAAGGGCUCCCCAUCACUCAGACGAGGCCCACCUGGAAACAAUAAUACAGAGGGGUAUGAGGUACCAGCCUCAGGGUGUUUGUGUUUAGUAGGUAAUGAAGGAACCUGAGGAGGAAAUUAAAGAAGGAAGAUAGAGAGGAGGGGUUUCUCUCUUUUACAGUGUGCUUGGCUGGGGCUGUCCCUUGGUGCUAUCUUAUGUCUGUGCCAUCAGAGUCAAAAAGCCUCCUCUUGUAAAUGCUGGCCUCCAGCUGUGUAGUAAAUUCUGGUACCAGCCAAACCUGUGUUCGGUUGCUUGCAGCAGUGUGUUCUUCUCAGUAUGAUGCUGCUGUAUUGCUUUCACCACAAGCACCAAAGGCUAUGAGAUGCUUUCCUUGGGGACUCAAUUCCAGCUGCAUGACCUAGGAUUACAGUUGCUAUGGCGAUAAGACAGUUAGUGAAGGGAGGAGUGAAAGGUAAGUUUGUGUAUCUGCCUGUGCUGCGGGCGUGUGAUGGGAGGGGGGCUGGCAGUCUCUGUCCCUGUGCUGCGUCUGCCUCCUGCUAUUGCUGCCACUGAAGAGCUCUAUUGCACGAGUGAUGGUCAUUUCUCAAUAGCUCAGGGAUGGGUGCUCAAGCAGCAGAGCAAACCAGGCUGAUUCUUUUUCUUCCCAGCAGUGCGUGUGCAUAACCAGGCCAUGGAACUGCUGUGCUGGGACUGUUUUAGUGGGGUGGGGGAGCUGAUCCUUUGUGUGCAUCUUUGCCACUGGCCUUGGAGAGGUUAAGAGGUGGAUUCUGAGGCUGCUGGGGGCCAGAGUAAAACCCUCCAACUACCCUUCUGUAUUUGUGGAGCUGUGUGAUCUGUGUUUGUAUCCUGUGUGCCCUGUGCUUGGGGCUGGAGGUGCUGAGCAGAUUUAAAAGAUGUGUAGCUGUGGUGCAUUUGGCAGUGCUGGGUUAACAGCUGACCUCGAUGAUCUUAAAGGUCUUUUCCAACUGAAGUGACUUUGGUUUGAUGAGUGGCAGCUUUGUCUCCCUUCAGCUGAGUUACAUUACCAGCCCUUCUGGUGGGGUUUGCUUUGUGGUGCUUGCUGCAGGAGUCACAGCAUUGCCCAAACCCUUCCAGAGCCAGUUCUACCUCCAGACCUGAACAGGCUCAGGAGUGCAGAGGGUCUUUCAGUAACUGACUGACAGUGG